rnacentral:rRNA from 1 species
GACGAACGCUGGCGGCGUGCUUAACACAUGCAAGUCGAACGUUGAAGCCGGAGCUUGCUCCGGUGGAUUAGUGGCGAACGGGUGAGUAACACGUGAGCAAUCUGCCCUUGACUCUGGGAUAACUGCGGGAAACUGUAGCUAAUACCGGAUACGACACCUUGGGGCAUCCCAGGGCGUGGAAAGAAUUUCGGUCAAGGAUGAGCUCGCGGCCUAUCAGCUAGUUGGUGAGGUAAUGGCUCACCAAGGCGACGACGGGUAGCCGGCCUGAGAGGGUGACCGGCCACACUGGAACUGAGACACGGUCCAGACUCCUACGGGAGGCAGCAGUGGGGAAUAUUGCACAAUGGGCGAAAGCCUGAUGCAGCAACGCCGCGUGAGGGAUGAAGGCCUUCGGGUUGUAAACCUCUUUUAGCAGGGAAGAAGCGAAAGUGACGGUACCUGCAGAAAAAGCACCGGCUAACUACGUGCCAGCAGCCGCAGUAA